UGGGCGGUGGGUAGGUGAAUAGCAUGCUGUGAAUGUUUUUCCAUACAAUGAAAAUAAUAACUAGCUGUGUAGGUGAGUCUGAACAACACUUCCUGUUUCUCUCGGUGUGUAGGUGAGAGCACGACAAGUGGAGUAACUCUGUGUAUGUAGGUGUGUGUGUCGUGACUGGACUGUGUGUAGGUGUGUAUGCGACAAGAGAUUGUUGUGUGUGUGUGUGUAUAUGACACACACCUCCAGGGCUGUCUUUGAAGGAGGCAGGGAUGGUAUAGUGGUGAGUCAUUCAUUCCAGACUACCAGCCAUGUAUAGCUCUAUCCUUGUGAAUGGGAUUAUAGUUACUUCAUAACUGGGAUCACUCACUUCUCUUCAUCUCCUUUGGGACACGACUAGGUCUGUUUGUCAUGUUUAAUACUGAUAAUGUGGUCAUUUAACAGACUCUAAACACAUUCAGUAUAUGUGGCCCUUGCAGGAAUCAAACCCACAACUCUGCUGUUACAAACUCCAGGACCCAGGUCUUUAUUGUGCUGGUAUGACCAGUGCCAUAAGGGAGAAGUCUUUUCCCCAUUCAUCAGAUUUGGCUGCAGGGAGCGAAUGAGGGGAGGGAAUUAGAAGGAGAAGAGGGUGUGAUAGAGGGAGGGGUGGGGGUUACACAGGAAUGCUCUGUCACCAUGAGAAAAAUGCUUCCUUGCUGGUUCUGCCCUUUGUGUAGAAAGUGAGGCAGAUGAAUACAGAGAAACGGACACAGAAAGAGACUGACGUAGCGAGAGCAGAGGUACUACAGGAAUGUAUCAGAAAGUAUCGAGAGAAAUUACGUGUGUGUGUGUGUGUGUGUGUGUGUGUGUGUGUGUGCUGACACCCUGCACUCAGUCUGAUUAGGAUUAAAACUACACAUCUGUCCAGGAUGUUAGGACAGCAGUCACUAAGGUCAAUGUGUGUCUGGCUACAUCUGCCUGCCUUACCCUUCUCAGGGCUAAAGUUGUUCUGUAGGCUCAAUGCUGUCCUCUACUGGUGGCAUCCCAGCACUACAGCUGUGAGAGACUACCAGUGAUGCGUGGGUCAGCAGUUUGUUCACCCACCCGAAUUGCUAGUAACCCAUCCGCAACCUCCUGACUAUAUGUGAAAAUCUGAGGCCCACACUUAAUCCUAACCCGCAAAUAUAGAAAAUGUGAGGAACAAUUCUUUGACUGGCCUUUUUGAAUAGGCCUAUGUUUCUGCUGAUAAUUUCCGACAUUUUGGUAGGCUGUUUGUCAAGUUGUCUAUAAUUAAAUACAUGCAGCUUCUCUUCUGUCAGUAGUUGUUGCCCUAGAAGACUAAAUAAACCCUUGCUCACCAGAAUGUCAUAAAUCAAUAGAUUGAAGGCUUCAAUUUAGUUGACAGGGGAAAGUUACUUCUCUUGCAAAGCAAAGACAUUUAGGGACCGGGGGAAAAAUGCAAUAACUCCAGUUUUAAGAAAAUCGAAAGCUGUUAUAAAGACCCAACGUUUUUUAAAAUAGGAUUUCAGUUCAGCUUGGGCGCAUAUUUUAUGUGGUUGAAAUACUACCUGCUUUUAUGAUCCUGUACAUUUGCUGUAUCAUUUCACUGUAAGAAAUGCUUAAUUCUAUGAGUUGAUAUUAAAGCUAUGUGAGAGGUUAUAGACCUACACUCUGUUCAGAUGUCACUUAUACUACUAUUCUAUCUAACCCAUCUUGAACGGUACAGUUCCCAAGAUGUGUAAUUUUGAAAUCCCUGUGUUGUGACUGUGAGCUCAGUCAUCACACAUCUUUCCCCAACAUUAGACUACUGUUCUGGCCUGCUGUUCUUUCACAGCAUUUCUCUUAUUGGAUUCAACUCUGACAUUGUCCUUUUGGUCUCAGAAUUCUACAAAAAUUAUACAUUUAUGGAUUUUUAAUGCAUUGUUUUCUCUUUAUUCAACCCACCCAAUAUUGAAUGACCCUAAACCCACCCCUCCCCGCCAAUAUAAGUACAGGGAUUGCAGGUUAUGAGUCAACCCACCCAAUAUUGAAUGACCCUAAACCCACCCCUCCCCGCCAAUAUAAGUACAGGGAUUGCAGGUUAUGAGUCAACCCACCCAAUAUUGAAUGACCCUAAACCCACCCCUCCCCGCCAAUAUAAGUACAGGGAUUGCAGGUUAUGAGUCAACCCAGCCAAUAUUGAAUGACCCUAAACCCACCCCUCCCCGCCAAUAUAAGUACAGGGAUUGCAGGUUAUGAGUCAACCCAGCCAAUAUUGAAUGACCCUAAACCCACCCCUCCCCGCCAAUAUAAGUACAGGGAUUGCAGGUUAUGAGUCAACCCAGCCAAUAUUGAAUGACCCUAAACCCACCCCUCCCCGCCAAUAUAAGUACAGGGAUUGCAGGUUAUGAGUCAACCCAGCCAAUAUUGAAUGACCCUAAACCCACCCCUCCCCGCCAAUAUAAGUACAGGGAUUGCAGGUUAUGAGUCAACCCACCCAAUAUUGAAUGACCCUAAACCCACCCCUCCCCGCCAAUAUAAGUACAGGGAUUGCAGGUUAUGAGUCAACCCACCCA